AUCCUACGGGAGGCAGCAGUGGGGGAUAUUGCACAAUGGGGGGAACCCUGAUGCAGCGACGCCGCGUGAGUGAAGAAGUAAUUCGUUAUGUAAAGCGCUAUCAGCAGGGAAGAAUAAAUGACGGUACCUGAGUAAGAAGCCCCGGCUAACUACGUGCCAGCAGCCGCGGUAAUACGUAGGGGGCAAGCGUUAUCCGGAUUUACUGGGUGUAAAGGGGGCGCAGACGGCGAUGCAAGCCAGGAGUGAAAGCCCGGGGCCCACCCCCG
rnacentral:rRNA from 1 species